rnacentral:rRNA from 1 species
AGUGAACGCUGGCGGUAGGCCUAACACAUGCAAGUCGAACGGCAGCACAGUAAGAGCUUGCUCUUACGGGUGGCGAGUGGCGGACGGGUGAGGAAUACAUCGGAAUCUACUUUUUCGUGGGGGAUAACGUAGGGAAACUUACGCUAAUACCGCAUACGACCUACGGGUGAAAGCAGGGGAUCUUCGGACCUUGCGCGAUUGAAUGAGCCGAUGUCGGUUUAGCUAGUUGGCGGGGUAAAGGCCCACCAAGGCGACGAUCCGUAGCUGGUCUGAGAGGAUGAUCAGCCACACUGGAACUGAGACACGGUCCAGACUCCUACGGGAGGCAGCAGUGGGGAAUAUUGGACGAUGGGCGCAAGCCUGAUCCAGCCAUACCGCGUGGGUGAAGAAGGCCUUCGGGUUGUAAAGCCCUUUUGUUGGGAAAGAAAAGCAGCAGGUUAAUACCCCGCUGUUCUGACGGUACCCAAAGAAUAAGCACCGGCUAACUUCGUG